GGAGGAAGAUUGGUCAAUGGACGCAAGUCUGAACCAGCCAAGUAGCGUGCAGGAUGACGGCCCUAUGGGUUGUAAACUGCUUUUAUAUGGGGAUAAAGUGGGGAACGUGUUCCCGUGUGCAGGUACCAUAUGAAUAAGGACCGGCUAAUUCCGUGCCAGCAGCCGCGGUAAUACGGAAGGUUCGGGCGUUAUCCGGAUUUAUUGGGUUUAAAGGGAGCGUAGGCCGUUUGGUAAGCGUGUUGUGAAAUGUAGGAGCUCAACUUCUAGAUUGCAGCGCGAACUGUCAGACUUGAGUGCGCACAACGUAGGCGGAAUUCAUGGUGUAGCGGUGAAAUGCUUAGAUAUCAUGAAGAACUCCGAUUGCGAAGGCAGCUUACGGGAGCGCAACUGACGCUGAAGCUCGAAGGUGCGGGUAUCGAACAGG
rnacentral:rRNA from 1 species